rnacentral:misc_RNA from 1 species
GCAUGAUAAAUAAAAUAAAUCUCCUUUGAUAGGGACGCGAAAAGGACAUCGCCAUAUUUUCUUGUGUCAGGGCAAGCGAGAAUAGGUCAAUAGGAUUUUUGUCUGAUUGUCGUCGAAUGAACGUUGGUAUCACUAGAGCAAGGGCUUCUAUCCUGGUAGUCGGUUCUGCUUCAACAUUGAAGAGGGAUGAACACUGGAAUAACUUGGUCGAAAGUGCUCAGAAGAGGGAUUGUUUAUUUAAGGUUUCAAAGC